AAGCCGGUAGGUGUAGGCGCAGCGAAAGCGAGUCUGAACAGGGCGAAUGAGUUAGUUGCAUUAGACCCGAAACCGAGUGAUCUAGCCAUGAGCAGGUUGAAGGUUGGGUAACACCAACUGGAGGACCGAACCCGCAUCUGUUGCAAUAGAUUGGGAUGACUUGUGGCUAGGGGUGAAAGGCCAAUCAAACUCGGAGAUAGCUGGUUCUCCGCGAAAUCUAUUUAGGUAGAGCGUCGACCGAAUACCCUCGGGGGUAGAGCACUGGAUGGGCUAUGGGGACUCACCGUCUUACUGAUCCUAACCAAACUCCGAAUACCGAGGAGUACUAGUCGGCAGACACACGGCGGGUGCUAACGUCCGUCGUGAAGAGGGCAACAACCCUGACCUCCAGCUAAGGUCCCCAAGUCAUGGCUAAGUGGGAAAGGAUGUGAGGAUCCCAAAACAACCAGGAUGUUGGCUUAGAAGCAGCCAUCAUUUAAAGAAAGCGUAACAGCUCACUGGUCUAAAUAAGGGUCUUUGCGCCGAAAAUGUAACGGGGCUAAAGCCAUGCACCGAAGCUGAGGAUUUGAGCUUAUGCUCAAGUGGUAGCGGAGCGUUCCGUAAGUCUGUGAAGGCAUAUCCGUGAGGAGUGCUGGAGAUAUCGGAAGUGCGAAUGUUGACAUGAGUAACGAUAAAGAGGGUGAGAGACCCUCUCGCCGAAAGACCAAGGGUUCCUGCUUAAAGUUAAUCUGAGCAGGGUUAGCCGGCCCCUAAGCCGAGGCGGAAACGCGUAGGUGAUGGGAACCACGUUAAUAUUCGUGGGCCUGGUGGUAGUGACGGAUUGCGUAACUUGUUCACUCUUAUUGGAUUGAGUGGGCGGGGAAGCGGUUCCAGGAAAUAGCUCCACCGUACAGACCGUACCCGAAACCGACACAGGUGGUCAGGUAGAGUAUACCAAGGCGCUUGAGAGAACUAUGUUGAAGGAACUCGGCAAAUUGCACGCGUAACUUCGGAAGAAGCGUGACCCCUUUUUACGCAAGUAUGAAGGGGUGGCACAGACCAGGGGGUAGCGACUGUUUAUCAAAAACACAGGGCUCUGCGAAGUCUAAAGACGACGUAUAGGGUCUGACGCCUGCCCGGUGCUGGAAGGUUAAGAGGAGAGGUGCAAGCUUUGAAUCGAAGCCCCAGUAAACGGCGGCCGUAACUAUAACGGUCCUAAGGUAGCGAAAUUCCUUGUCGGGUAAGUUCCGACCUGCACGAAUGGCGUAACGACUUCCCCGCUGUCUCCAACAUAGACUCAGUGAAAUUGAAUUCCCCGUGAAGAUGCGGGGUUCCUGCGGUUAGACGGAAAGACCCCGUGCACCUUUACUAUAGCUUUACACUGGCAUUCGUGUCGGCAUGUGUAGGAUAGGUGGUAGGCUUUGAAGCGGGGACGCCAGUUCUCGUGGAGCCAUCCUUGAAAUACCACCCUUAUCGUCAUGGAUGUCUAACCGCGGUCCGUUAUCCGGAUCCGGGACAGUGUAUGGUGGGUAGUUUGACUGGGGCGGUCGCCUCCGAAAGAGUAACGGAGGCGCGCGAUGGUGGGCUCAGACCGGUCGGAAAUCGGUCGUCGAGUGCAAUGGCAUAAGCCCGCCUGACUGCGAGACUGACAAGUCGAGCAGAGACGAAAGUCGGUCAUAGUGAUCCGGUGGUCCCGCGUGGAAGGGCCAUCGCUCAACGGAUAAAAGGUACGCCGGGGAUAACAGGCUGAUGACCCCCAAGAGUCCAUAUCGACGGGGUUGUUUGGCACCUCGAUGUCGGCUCAUCGCAUCCUGGGGCUGGAGCAGGUCCCAAGGGUUUGGCUGUUCGCCAAUUAAAGCGGUACGUGAGCUGGGUUCAGAACGUCGUGAGACAGUUCGGUCCCUAUCUGCCGUGGGUGUAGGAAUAUUGACAGGAUCUGUCCCUAGUACGAGAGGACCGGGAUGGACAUAUCUCUGGUGGACCUGUUGUCCUGCCAAGGGCAUAGCAGGGUAGCUAUAUAUGGAAUGGAUAACCGCUGAAGGCAUCUAAGCGGGAAACCAACCUGAAAACGAGUAUUCCCUAUCAGGGCCGUGGAAGACGACCACGUUGAUAGGCCGGGUGUGGACGUGCAGCAAUGCAUGAAGCUUACCGGUACUAAUAGCCCGAUCGACUUCAUCGU
rnacentral:rRNA from 1 species